GACGAACGCUGGCGGCGUGCUUAACACAUGCAAGUCGAACGGAAAGGCCCUGCUUUUGUGGGGUGCUCGAGUGGCGAACGGGUGAGUAACACGUGAGUAACCUGCACUUGACUUUGGGAUAACUUCAGGAAACUGGGGCUAAUACCGGAUAGGAGCUCCUGCUGCAUGGUGGGGGUUGGAAAGUUUCGGCGGUUGGGGAUGGACUCGCGGCUUAUCAGCUUGUUGGUGGGGUAGUGGCUUACCAAGGCUUUGACGGGUAGCCGGCCUGAGAGGGUGACCGGCCACAUUGGGACUGAGAUACGGCCCAGACUCCUACGGGAGGCAGCAGUGGGGAAUAUUGCACAAUGGGCGGAAGCCUGAUGCAGCAACGCCGCGUGCGGGAUGACGGCCUUCGGGUUGUAAACCGCUUUCGCCUGUGACGAAGCGUGAGUGACGGUAAUGGGUAAAGAAGCACCGGCUAACUACGU
rnacentral:rRNA from 1 species